rnacentral:rRNA from 1 species
UACGAAGGGGGCUAGCGUUGCUCGGAAUUACUGGGCGUAAAGGGAGAGUAUGCGGACAUUUAAGUCAGGGGUGAAAUCCCAGAGCUCAACUCUGGAACUGCCUUUGAUACUGGGUGUCUUGAGUGUGAUAGAGGUAUGUGGAACUCCGAGUGUAGAGGUGAAAUUCGUAGAUAUUCGGAAGAACACCAGUGGCGAAGGCGACAUACUGGAUCAUUACUGACGCUGAGGCUCGAAAGCGUGGGGAGCAAACAGG